AGUGAACGCUGGCGGUAGGCCUAACACAUGCCAGUCGAACGGCAGCACAGUAAGAGCUUGCUAUUAAGGGAGGCGAGUGGCGGACGGGUGAGGAAUACAACGGAAUCUACUUUUUCGUGGGGGAUAACGUAGGGAAACUUAAGAUAAUACCGCAUACGACAUACGGGUGAAAGCAGGGGAUCUUCUGACCUUGCGCGAUUGAAUGAGCCGAUGUCGGAUUAGCUAGUUGGCGGGGUAAAGGCCCACCAAGGCGACGAUCCGUAGCUGGUCUGAGGUGAUGAUCAGCCACACUGGAACUUUGUCACGGUCCACACUCCUACGGGAGGCAGCCGUGUCUAAUAUUGGACAAUGGGCGCAAUCCUGCUCCAGCCCUACCCCGUGGGUUAAGAACCCCUUCGGGUUCUAAAGCCCCUUUGUUGGCAAAGACAAGCAUCAGUUUAUUACCCCGCUGUUCUGACGGUACCCAAAGAAUAAGCACCCGCUAACUUCGUG
rnacentral:rRNA from 1 species